rnacentral:rRNA from 1 species
UACGGAGGGUGCGAGCGUUAUCCGGAUUCACUGGGUUUAAAGGGUGCGUAGGUGGGAAUGUAAGUCAGUGGUGAAAUCUCUGAGCUUAACUCAGAAACUGCCAUUGAUACUAUGUUUCUUGAAUUAUCUGGAGGUCAGCGGAAUAUGUCAUGUAGCGGUGAAAUGCUUAGAUAUGACAUAGAACACCAAUUGCGAAGGCAGCUGGCUACAGGUGGAUUGACACUGAGGCACGAAAGCGUGGGGAUCAAACAGG